rnacentral:lncRNA from 1 species
AUGUGCAGGUGGAGCAGCAGAUGCUGUGAUGUUUGGCUCUUCACUUUGUUUCCAAAGGCCAUAGCUCAUAAAUUACUGCUGAUGUGGAUGUUUAUAUUAGCUUCCUGGGUCAUUUACUUCUCUCUCAAAGACCACACAAAGUUCUUGUUCAGCUUGAGAAAUUCUAUUUCUCUGAAUCAUUGGAACACAUUCAGAAAUUCCACCUACCCGGAAGCCCCACCAAAUCCAGAAAUUUCACCAACUGAGACUGAGCUGAGGAUAGAGAGCAUCAUGGAGAAACUAGACCAGCUCAUCCCACCCAGACCCUUCACCAACGUGAGUUCCACCACCAGUGCCACACACAGCAGAGCCACCCUCCUCAGCCCUCGAGACACAUACUGCAGGGGGGACCAGCUGGACGUCCUGCUGGAGAUGAGAGACCACCUGGGACGCAGGAAGGAAUAUGGCGGAGAUUUCCUCAGGGCCAGGAUAUUUUCCCCAGCCCUGAAAGCAGGUGCUUCUGGAAAGGUGACAGACUUCAACAAUGGCACCUACCUUGUGAGCUUCACCCUGUUCUGGGAGGGCCAGGUGUCCCUGUCUGUCCUGCUCAUCCACCCCAGUGAAGGGGUGUCGGCUCUCUGGAGGGCCAGGAACCAAGGCUACGACAGGGUGAACUUCACAGGCCAGUUUGCUAAUGGCACCUCCCCAGUCUUCUCUAAAUGUGGCCUGACCCUUCACACCACUGCUGAACUGUGCAAGUACCUGGACUAUCGCGACCAGGAAGCCUUCUACUGCUUGAAGCCUCCCCGUGUUCCCUGCGAGGCGCUGACCCACGUGACCACCAGGAAUGCAGACAUUUCCUAUAUUAGACAGAAAGAAUGGGCCCUUUUCCACAGGUCCAACGUGGGGGUUGAAAUAAUGAAGAAUUUUGCCUCCAUCAAGGUCUCAGCAUGUGGCAAGAAUAAGAACAUAGAAACCAAAUGUCGGCUCGGCAUGAAGAGUCCUUUCCCCAGUGGUUAUAGUCUGAAAAGAAAGUGGAUUGCAGCAUUUUGUAAACAGAUAGAAUUAAAUGAAACAAAAACUAUAAAUGACUGCUUGAAGAGAAAACUUAUUUACCUAAUGGGAGAUUCAACACUGCGUCAGUGGAUUCAAUAUUUACCAAAAAUGGUAAAAACCUUAAAAUAUUUUGAUCUUCAUGGAGUUGGGCCCUUUAAAACACACGUGCUUCUGGAUGCUGAAAGACAUACUUUGAUUCAGUGGAAAAAGCAUGGUCAUCCAUUUAUUACCCAAAGUCUGUUCUCUGUAAAGGAUGAUAAUUAUAUCCCACGGGAAAUUGACCGGAUAGCUGGAGACAAGGACACUGCCAUUGUUAUCACUCUUGGUCAGCACUUGAGACCCUUCCCCAUAAAAAUUUUUAUCCGUAGGGCCAUCAAUGUUCAAAAGGCCAUAGAACGACUAUUCUUGCGAAGCCCAGAAACCAAGGUGAUCCUGAAAACUGAAAACACUAGGAGGCUGUUUGAUAAUGCAGAGAUGUUCAGUGAUUUUCACGGUUAUAUUCAGAAUCUUAUCAUGAGGGAUAUUUUCAUGGAUCUCAAUGUGGGUAUUAUUGAUGCCUGGGACAUGACUAUUGCUGAUAGCACCAAUAAUAUCCAUCCACCUGAUUAUGUGAUUGAAAAUCAGAUUAACAUGUUCUUAAACUACAUUUGCUAG